rnacentral:rRNA from 1 species
UGAGCAAUCUGCCCUUCACAUCGGAAUAACCAUUGGAAACGAUGGCUAAUACCGAAUAUGACUUCGGAUCGCAUGAUCUGAAGUGGAAAGCUCCGGCGGUGAAGGAUGAGCUCGCGGCCUAUCAGCUAGUUGGUGUGGGUAAUGGCCCACCAAGGCGACGACGGGUAGCCGGCCUGAGAGGGUGACCGGCCACACUGGGACUGAGACACAGCCCAGACUCCG